UUGAACUUCACAAUAUACAAAAAUGUUUUUGAUGUUUGUUUGUAGUAUUUUCUUUAGGUUACAGUUGGCUUUUAAAAGCAGCAAUGUCCCUCGUUCAUUUCUUCAGUGAAAAACUAAAGGUUUGCCUCCAAAUAUGCCACUAUGAGUAAGAAGGAAGUGGUUUUAAAUAAUGACAGCGAGGUCAUAUCCAUAUAUAGUCAGCCUUGGCAGGGCAAUGAUGACUGAUGAUGUCUCAACUUUAGAUAGCUGAUUUCAUCUCUCUGUGUUUUGCCAUGUUCUCUCAACAUCAUUUGCUCACAUUGCACUUUCACACACUAACGCUUGACACAAUCCAUUAAGCCAGAUAUACUAUCAACAGUCUCUCGUUCUUUUUCAAAAUCUCUCUCACUUUUACUCUUAAUCUACCGCUCCCAAACACACACACACACACACAUUCUCAUACUCACACCGCCACUCUCAUGCUCGGCCCCUCCUUACACUGUUUAGACAGCAAACAAUUACGAGCAGAGAGCUGGGGGGUGGAGUUUAGCUUUAUCUUCAACUUCUCAGCCUCCAUUUAUGGAGAGGACUAGCAGGUAGCGAUUGCCAAACUUAGUCAUCAAAGCGUGCGUCUCAUUCAUUGCACACUCAGCUUGUGUUUUGCUUGGGCUCUGAAGACGUGCAACUCUUGCCUUCGGCUGAGAUCUUUAAAGGAGUUCGGGGUCACUUCCUUCAGCUGGAUUUGCGAGAGAAAAUGGCAUUGUGCUGUAGCAGCAGGAACCAUAUAUCUUCGGGACUGACUUGUGGAUGUAGCCACAGCAGCUUUUCCUUUGGUUUAUGAGGUGGUAAAUUCCUCUUAGCCGAUUAUUAUUUGUUGCUUAUUGACUGAGCCAGUGUCGUGUUUAAGAUUGAGGGACACAAAUGUUUUCCCCUCUCCCUUUGGUUAAGAAAAAGAAAGCGACCACAGUUCAAGAUCCUGUCAAUAAAGAUCCUGUCUGAAUUAU